AUGGCUGUCGUCAGCUCGUGUCGUGAGAUGUUGGGUUAAGUCCCGCAACGAGCGCAACCCUUGUCAUUAGUUGCUACAUUCAGUUGGGCACUCUAAUGAGACUGCCGGUGACAAACCGGAGGAAGGUGGGGAUGACGUCAAGUCCUCAUGGCCCUUAUGAGUAGGGCUUCACACGUAAUACAAUGGCGCGUACAGAGGGUUGCUAAGCCGCGAGGUAGAGCCAAUCCCUUAAAGCGCGUCGUAGUCCGGAUUGCAGUCUGCAACUCGACUGCAUGAAGUCGGAAUCGCUAGUAAUCGCGGAUCAGCAUGUCGCGGUGAAUACGUUCCCGGGUCUUGUACACACCGCCCGUCACACCAUGGGAGUGGGUUUCACCAGAAGCCGGUCGCCUAACCGCAAGGGGGGCGCCGACCACGGUGAGAUUCAUGACUGGGGUGAAGUCGUAACAAGGUAGCCGUAGGGGAACCUGCGGCUGGAUCACCUCCUUAACGGAUCGCGAGUAACCUCCUCGGAGGGGAAAGCAUCUCGUAGUCGCUUCGCUUCGACACAUCCUGUUCACCCACUCUCGAUUGUUGACCCCCUGGCGCCUCGGCGCCUCGAGGGUCAGUGCUGUUUGACAACGGAUGUACAUGGUAGAUCGUGGGAUUUAUUGAAUCCUUUAUUGAGAUGACAUUUUCGCAAGAAAAAGUCACUCGUUUGAAACAAUGCGCGUAGUUCUGCUUGAAGACAUCUAUUGUGGUCAAGCGAAGGAAGGCAUGUGGGGGAUGCCUGGGCACACAGAGGCGAUGAAGGCCGUGGUAAGCUGCGAGAAGCUCGGGGGAGUGGCACACACGCGGUGAUCCCGAGAUGGCCGAAUGGGGAAACCCGG
rnacentral:sRNA from 1 species